GGCAAACAAGAUUUGCCCCCCAUCCCCUUAGCAAAUGAUGAAUACCAAGCUUUUUACUAACCUCAUUGAGACCCCUUACGUUCCAACUAAUGAGUUUUGGCAUCAUUGUAACACUCCAUAACCCCUUCCCAUUGUUCAUUUCUUGGACUCGCCACCCUUACCAGCAUAGUUUACUGACCAUUCGAGCCUCUUAAGUUCACGAUCACCCUUUCUUCUUAAUCUACUUCCAUGUGUACUAAUGUCUUGUCCCUUAUUAGCCUCCAGCUCCUCGAAUAAUUGUAACAAUCUACUUUCAUACCCAUCACAUGACACGCCAACCAACUUACUGAAUUCCUGAAUUUUUUGUAGAACCCAGUUUGAAGGUGGGUGAUCAACUUCUAACACAUCAGUUCCUGAAGUAUCCUUACCCUGAUAGCCCUCGAGAUGAUCAAAGGACCGUUCUUUCUCUCCCACCACUGGUAUAAUGUCACUAUCACUUUCUCCUUUCUUGGCACCACCUACCCAUAACACCAAGGCUUUUUCGGUUCCCAUAUCGUUAUCUUUUGUCCUCCUAUUUUAAGUGUUCGUAAUCCUUGAUGUCGCCUGUGUAUAGUUGUUUUCUUUCACAGUGUCCAUUGACAAUUUCUCCAAGUUCACCAUACUAAACUCCCCUUCCUUAGACAGCGGUUCCUCUUCUCGUUCAACUGCAGUCCUUGUGUCUACUUCAGUUCGGUUGACCCCCACAAAGUCAACCCUGUCAUCGUUUUCAUGGUAUCCCGCUUCCAUCCUCACCUGAGAAUCACAAUGUUCAUCUCCUCCCUGCUUUGCAUGUUCUGUAAUUGAUGGUAGUUCCUCAUGAGUCAAUCCCGAUACGUGUAUUUCACCGGUUUGAUCCUCAUCCAACUCAACCCCACACUUGUGACAGCGUACCAAUUUCAUGGGCUCCAUUUCAGGCCCGCUUCCAACCAGUCUAAGUAAUUCAUCUAAUGCUCCUUUCAACUCCUGCGCACGGGUCAUUAUUUCAGCCCUACUCAAACAAAUGUCGUGACCUUCGUUAUCACCGACUUUAUUUGUCCUUUCCUUUUGCUGAAGCAUCCGUUGGUUGGCAUUCUCCGAGGUCUGUGAGUUUGCUGUAAUUUUUGCAUAAGUCAUCCAUUGUCUGUUUCGUUCAAUCACCGUUUGUCGUUUGGCCUUAUCCCUAGCAACAAAUGAGUCAACAACUGCUUGAAACACCUGCAAGACCGACACCCAUCCCUCUCCAUUUGCACCUUCUGGUAUCAUAACAACUCCUUUCCGACGCCUCUCCCCAUAUUGUGCUAUCAUCAAAUAUCUGCCUCGAUGGUUCACACACCGUUGUGCCAAGAAAGCUCUUGAAGACUCAUUGAACUUAAAAACACAUUCCUCAACUUCACUUCUCUUCCUCAGUCUGUCUACCAUAUUCACCAUCCAAAUAGCACCAUACCUUCCCAUAAAGAUUGAAUCCGAUAACUUCGAACCCCAUUCUGUCAACUUAGCAGUGCUAGAAUCGUUAAUAGAUACUGCGAAGUCCUUCGCCUCCACUCUGAAACGAUGAUUGAAUACCAAACUACGCACAUCCGCCAAUUUUUUCCCCUGAUUGUGUACUAGCAAUUCAUCAAAUGGAGGAACGGACAAGCCGAUUGAUCUCAGGGCAGCAGACUGCCGCUGCAGGUUUUCCGGCGGCGGCGCGUGGACCACACGCGCUGGCAGACACGCAGCCGGAGCGGCGCGUGUGGGGGGCAGGACACCGGCAGGUGUCGCCGGUCCCUGCUGAGGCCGUCGGUGAGGCGCGUCUCCUCGAACUGUGGCUGGAUCUGGCGGAAACGGUUGGGCGACGCUAGGGUUUCUCACAGUAAACUGCGCCUGUGUGUGAAUGGCGUGGUUGGAAGGGCUGAUUUGUGGCGUGAGGCCGGUAGUGUGGGGGUGUGGUGGCUGGGUUAUUUUGGAUUGUGAGGGGAGCUCUAUUUCGCCUCUCACAGAACUCUCGCUGGACCGAGAGAAACUUUUGUUAGAGAAAACGUGAUACCGAAAAUUGACCCAUGAAUAAAGCAAUGGAUCGUGAAUAAGCAAUUUACCCUCCUGCUCCUCCUCCUCCAUGUUUAUUUUUUAGCUGCGGGGCACUGGAAGGAGAAGGAAAUAGUUGGAGACUGAGUGCUAAUUCAUUCAUGAAAGAUUUGAAGAAUCUCUAAGAGACUCUCUAUUUAUA
rnacentral:lncRNA from 1 species